ensembl:lncRNA
GUGACUGAGGGAGAGUGGGUCGCCUUGUAGUGGAAAUGUCCCCCAAACCUGGUGCUGAGCUCUGCGGCUUUCCUUUAAAAAAAAAAGAAAAGAAAUCGUUACUCUCAGGUUUCUUAUACUCCUGGUUUUGCUGACCAUUUAUUUGAAGGAAAUAUGGGAGAAAUGUGGCUUUGCAAAAUUUGUGGUCUCUGCAUUCCCAAGAGAUUUAGAGAUUUCAGUGCCCCAGAUUCAGGGUCAUUCUAGGCCUUCUAUGUGUCAACUUCCCACCUGCAAGCCCCUGGGCCACGGCGCUGCGGGUGACCCAGGCCUCUAGUCCCGAGAAUUUUUGGAAGUUCCUCUCAGUUGUAGUGCCUCGCGAAGUUUGGGAGGAGAGACUGAUGACGUGGUGGGAGUUAGGAGUAAGACUAAGGGGUCUGUGCCCUAAGCAGUUUUGGAGGCAAGCCUCCUAAGGCGGAGGGUUGGCUGCUGGAACGCCUGGUGGUACUUGAAUUCACAGCACACACAUGGACGUUUUCGGGUUGUUUGUUUGCUUCCAAAGCAGUGCAGAAUAAAGCUGAGAGGCGCCGACCGGUUGACCAUUGCAGCCGACUGGUCUACGCUCCGGAUUCGCAUUGGAUUCAUCCAGACCGCCAAGAGAUGAAUUCAGGGUGUGCUCUCUUAAGUCUGCCAACUGAGAGCUCCGGGAUUGCCAUCGCCCCUCUUCGCACUGAGCCAUUGUGCUACCCUGCGCCGCAGUAACCACUGCUUUUUAGUUUUGUUUUCUCGCAUUAGGGGAGCAUCUCUGUGCAUUUGUGGAAGUAUUCUGCUUUAGGCCAAACCUAUACACACAGUAUCACUUUAAACAGUUUUAUGCUGUCAUCUUGUGCAAAGGUCCUCUCCCACCCGUACACAAAGACACUGGGGUGGGGGUGGGGAGGCCCCAUCCCUUAUUCAUAACUAGCUUGCUCAGUCCGUGGGCAUUUGAAUGGGGUGAUGCGAGACCUCCGUUUGAUCUCUCAAAGACCGUUAGGCAGAACGCAGAUCAUAUGCGGUGACUUUGGGGGCGCUAGCGUGGCCCCUCCAUCCGCUCCCUGAAAGUUUAGACCCAGUGCUUAAACACAAACUCCAAAAGAGCACUUGCCGGCUUUUCAGGACAGAGACUUUAUUUUUUAUUACAACGUGGAGGUGUAGAAAGGUAAACUCUGCGCCACAGAGGGAGGACUAUUUUCCCCUUUGAAAUAGCUUGCAAAACGGGUCGUCGUCCUUGGACCAGCAGGUUUUCAAAAGCAUGUUCUUCUGCAGCGGCAAAAGGGGAAAAACAACAACAACAACAACAACGUUGCAAAAAGAACUCAAGAAAGCCCCCAUUUCUCGAACCAGUUCCAAUGCCCUACCUCCAACUCCUUCAGCCAGUGGCCGCAGGGCCUGGCUCCCCCCAACUUAAAAGCUCUUCUCGCGCCGGGACCCUAGUGCACCCGCAGCGCUCAGAUAGGUUCCGGAUAUCCCCGAGCCGUGUUUCUGUGGCCAAGUGUGGGAAUGAAAGCCGCCUCGGGCCCGGUGCCGCCAAAUCGGGCCUGGAGGGAGGGGGGAAAAGAGUUGAAGGGGAACUGCCACCCGCCUCGCCCAGAGGCACCCUCACGCUCAUCCGCGCAGGUCCUCCCUUCCCCGCCCCGCGGGCGCUGCCGCGUCCCGAGUGCUGCAGUCCCUCCCGUGCAAGCAGGGGA